rnacentral:rRNA from 1 species
AGGACGAACGCUGGCGGCGUGCUUAACACAUGCAAGUCGAGCGGUGAUCCUCCUUCGGGAGGUGAUCAGCGGCGAACGGGUGAGUAACACGUGGGCAACCUGCCCUCACACUGGGAGUAACCUCGGGAAACCGGGCUAAUACCGGAUACGACCUCGAGCGGCAUCUCUUGAGGUGGAAAGCUCCGACGGUGAGGGAUGGGCCCGCGGCCUAUCAGCUUGUUGGUGGGGUAAUGGCCUACCAAGGCGACGACGGGUA